AAGAAAGGAGCAUGAUGGAUUGAUGCGACUGGCUUGAAACUAGUGUAUGGGGGUUCGAUUCCCUCCUUUCUUG
rnacentral:tRNA from 1 species